AGAAAUCUCAAGCAGGAAGUGAAGAGUUAGUACACCUGCAGAGAACUCCGGGAAGAUUUUGUGUUCGGCCAGAGGGAGGCAGAUGUUUCUCUUUCUACUAAAUCUAAUUAGGACUCUGUACUCUGAUUUGUGGUCAGAACCUGUAGUUUCCAUCCAGUCCAGGAGCUGACACAAAGAUUGGGCAGUUUAAGCAUUGGCUCAACACUGGAACAACCAGUACAGAAGAACCUACUGACCUAAGAAGAACCUUAAAACUGGAUUUUCAGACAUCCCUUUAAAUCAAUCCUUAAUGGUGCAUCUCAAGAGAGAUGGAAGGAGAUGGACUUCAACAGAGCCAAGAUUGAGCACAAAAGACGGCAAGAGGAACAGAGGCAGCGGAAGAGGGAGCAGGAGCAAGAUGCAGAUGGCAUCCGACGCCAGCUGCGCAGGGACAGUCAGAGGCAGCGAUUGCGUCAGAGAAUAUUGCAGGAGCUGGAGAAACGGCUGGAGCAAGAAAAGAGAGCUUUGCAGCACAUGGCACUGCUCCAGGCUGCUAGGGCAGAGAGGAGCAGGAAGGAAUCCUUCUUGCCAGAGGAGGAGAAGAGGAAGGCAAGUCAGAGAUUGCAGUUCUUAAAGACACAGCGUGUGCAGAGAGAGGAGCUGCAGGCAAAACGCAAUGAAAGGAGCUUUGAACAAGAGAAAGAAAGGCUGGAUUUUCUCAGGAGCAGAAUGCAGUCACGGCAGGAAAUGUUGGAACAAGAAUCACGGGAGCAGGACAGGCAACAAAAAAAGCAGCAGGCUGCCAAAGGGAGAGUGUUCCAGAGCAGAGACCGUUCAUGCCAGAAGGUGGAGAGAGAAGGCCAGAAACUCAGUGACCUCCAGCAGUACCUCAGAGAACAGAAUCUUUUGAUGCUCCGGGCAUCUCUACUAGCAUAAGGAAGCUGCAGAGUGG
rnacentral:lncRNA from 14 species